GAACGCUGGCGGCAGGCCUAACACAUGCAAGUCGAACGGUAACAGGAAACAGCUUGCUGUUUCGCUGACGAGUGGCGGACGGGUGAGUAAUGUCUGGGAAACUGCCUGAUGGAGGGGGAUAACUACUGGAAACGGUAGCUAAUACCGCAUAACGUCGCAAGACCAAAGAGGGGGACCCUCGGGCCUCUUGCCAUCGGAUGUGCCCAGAUGGGAUUAGCUUGUUGGUGGGGUAACGGCUCACCAAGGCGACGAUCCCUAGCUGGUCUGAGAGGAUGACCAGCCACACUGGAACUGAGACACGGUCCAGACUCCUACGGGAGGCAGCAGUGGGGAAUAUUGCACAAUGGGCGCAAGCCUGAUGCAGCCAUGCCGCGUGUAUGAAGAAGGCCUUCGGGUUGUAAAGUACUUUCAGCGGGGAGGAAGGGAGUAAAGUUAAUACCUUUGCUCAUUGACGUUACCCGCAGAAGAAGCACCGGCUAACUCCGUGCCAGCAGCCGCGGUAAUACGGAGGGUGCAAGCGUUAAUCGGAAUUACUGGGCGUAAAGCGCACGCAGGCGGUUUGUUAAGUCAGAUGUGAAAUCCCCGGGCUCAACCUGGGAACUGCAUCUGAUACUGGCAAGCUUGAGUCUCGUAGAGGGGGGUAGAAUUCCAGGUGUAGCGGUGAAAUGCGUAGAGAUCUGGAGGAAUACCGGUGGCGAAGG
rnacentral:rRNA from 1 species